CGCGUGGUGUCCAGCGUUAGGGCUGGAAGGGCGACGCGGCCUAUUUUAAGGU
rnacentral:ncRNA from 1 species